rnacentral:rRNA from 1 species
CCUACGGGAGGCAGCAGUGGGGAAUAUUGCACAAUGGGCGGAAGCCUGAUGCAGCGACGCCGCGUGAGGGAUAAAGGCCUUCGGGUUGUAAACCUCUUUCAGCAGGGACGAAGCGUGAGUGACGGUACCUGCAGAAGAAGCACCGGCUAACUACGUGCCAGCAGCCGCGGUAAUACGUAGGGUGCGAGCGUUGUCCGGAAUUACUGGGCGUAAAGAGUUCGUAGGCGGUUUGUCGCGUCGUUUGUGAAAACCCGGGGCUCAACUUCGGGCUUGCAGGCGAUACGGGCAGACUUGAGUGUUUCAGGGGAGACUGGAAUUCCUGGUGUAGCGGUGAAAUGCGCAGAUAUCAGGAGGAACACCGGUGGCGAAGGCGGGUCUCUGGGAAACAACUGACGCUGAGGAACGAAAGCGUGGGUAGCAAACAGGAUUAGAUACCCUGGUAGUCCACGCCGUAAACGGUGGGCGCUAGGUGUGGGUUCCUUCCACGGGAUCUGUGCCGUAGCUAACGCAUUAAGCGCCCGCCUGGGGAUCGGCCGCAAGGCUAAACUUAAGGAAUUGACGGCUGAGACNGCGAGCGACACGAGGAGAG